rnacentral:lncRNA from 1 species
AGCUCUUGAAUUGAGCGAGGGAAAAGGGAAAGUUGGGAAAGUUAAGAGGACCAUCUGGGAGAAAGCCACUGGAGAGAAGAAUGAGGUGAUUCUGACCUCAUUCAAAGUGGCUCAACCCUUUUGUCCUAGUGUCUGCCAAGCAGACCUCAGGCCAAAGAUUCCCCUGAAAAGCCAGGCUCAGCAGCACCCACCAGACCCACUAACUGGAAAAGGGCAAGAAUACACCACACUGGUCAGGGGACCCCAAAGUUCCUCCUCCCUCAGCUUUCUUCUCCCCCUCUGCCAGGGCGCUAAGAACGCUUUAUCAACAUUCAUUCUAUUUUACAAGCGGGCAGCCUGGGAUUUUUGAUGCCCGAACAACAGAAAGGAGUUUUUGAAGUUUCUAGACUUCAAACUGCACCUCACUCUGUCCUUUCUCUGGGCCCCUCUUGUCCUCCGAGGCUCAUCUAAAAAGGAGCUAGAGAUGCUGAAGAGACAGACACUGCAUCUUCCUUGACAACCCCAAAUUAAAUCAGGCUUCAGCCUCCAAGGUUGUGUGCAGAUUUUGCAUUGCUUUGUAAAGCAGCUGCUCAGGAGAGCCACUGGCUGCCACAGAGUUGGGCAAUGAAGAUAAAAGAAGUCCCACUUGGAUGCCACUCUGGUAAGGGCUCGGACCCAGCUAGUCACAGUCGGCAACGGCU